CCUACGGGAGGCAGCAGUGGGGGAAUAUUGGACAAUGGGGGGCAACCCUGAUCCAGCCAUGCCGCGUGAGUGAUGACGGCCUUAGGGUUGUAAAGCUCUUUUCUCCGGGACGAUAAUGACGGUACCGGAGGAAUAAGCCCCGGCUAACUUCGUGCCAGCAGCCGCGGUAAUACGAAGGGGGGCUAGCGUUGCUCGGAAUCACUGGGCGUAAAGGGCGCGUAGGCGGCUGACUUAGUCGAGGGUGAAAGCCCGUGGCUCAACCACGGAAUGGCCUUCGAUACUGGUUGGCUUGAGACCGGAAGAGGACAGCGGAACUGCGAGUGUAGAGGUGAAAUUCGUAGAUAUUCGCAAGAACACCAGUGGCGAAGGCGGCUGUCUGGUCCGGUUCUGACGCUGAGGCGCGAAAGCGUGGGGAGCAAACAGGAUUAGAUACCCUGGUAGUCCACGCUGUAAACGAUGAAUGCUAGCCGUUGGUCUGCAUGCAGGUCAGUGGCGCCGCUAACGCAUUAAGCAUUCCGCCUGGGGAGUACGGUCGCAAGAUUAAAACUUAAAGGUAAAUUGACGG
rnacentral:rRNA from 1 species